GAUGAAGAACGCAGCGAAAUGCGAUAAGUAAUGUGAAUUGCAGAAUUCCGUGAAUCAUCGAAUCUUUGAACGCACAUUGCGCCCCCUGGUAUUCCGGGGGGCAUGCCUGUCCGAGCGUCAUUGCAACCUUCAAGCGCGGCUUGUGUGUUGGGUCUCGUCCCCCGUGGACGGGCCCGAAAGGCAGUGGCGGCGUCCCGACAUGGUGCCCGAGCGUAUGGGAAUCCUCUUCCGCUCGAAUCGGCCCAUGCGGCGCUGGUCGUAACCAAAUUUUUUACCGGUUGACCUCGGAUCAGGUAGGGAUACCCGCUGAACUUAAGCAUAUCAAUAAGCGGAGG
rnacentral:misc_RNA from 1 species